GAUGAACGCUGGCGGCGUGCCUAAUACAUGCAAGUCGAGCGAACAGGCGAGGAGCUUGCUCCUCUGACGUUAGCGGCGGACGGGUGAGUAACACGUGGAUAACCUACCUAUAAGACUGGGAUAACUUCGGGAAACCGGAGCUAAUACCGGAUAAUAUAUUGAACCGCAUGGUUCAAUAGUGAAAGACGGUUUUGCUGUCACUUAUAGAUGGAUCCGCGCCGCAUUAGCUAGUUGGUAAGGUAACGGCUUACCAAGGCAACGAUGCGUAGCCGACCUGAGAGGGGGAUCGGCCACACUGGAACUGAGACACGGUCCAGACUCCUACGGGAGGCAGCAGUAGGGAAUCUUCCGCAAUGGGCGAAAGCCUGACGGAGCAACGCCGCGUGAGUGAUGAAGGUCUUCGGAUCGUAAAACUCUGUUAUUAGGGAAGAACAAAUGUGUAAGUAACUAUGCACGUCUUGACGGUACCUAAUCAGAAAGCCACGGCUAACUACGUG
rnacentral:rRNA from 1 species